rnacentral:rRNA from 1 species
GACGAACGCUGGCGGCGUGCUUAACACAUGCAAGUCGAACGGAAAGGCCCUGCUUUUUUGGGGUGCUCGAGUGGCGAACGGGUGAGUAACACGUGAGUAACCUGCCCUUGACUUUGGGAUAACUUCAGGAAACUGGGGCUAAUACCGGAUAGGAGCUCCUGCUGCAUGGUGGGGGUUGGAAAGUUUCGGCGGUUGGGGAUGGGCUCGCGGCUUAUCAGCUUGUUGGUGGGGUAGUGGCUUACCAAGGCUUUGACCGGUAGCCGGCCUGAGAGGGUGACCGGCCACAUUGGGACUGAGGUACGGCCCAGAGUGCUACGGGGGGCAAUGGGGGCGAAUAUUGCACAAUGGGCGGAAGUGUGAUGCAGCGACGCCGCGUGCGGGAUGACGGCCUUCGGGUUGUAAAACGCUUCCGCUUAUGACGCAGCGUGAGUGACGGUAAUGGGUAAAGAAGCACCGGCUAACUACGUG